GUUAGUUGUCCAUCAUUCAGUUGGGCACUCUAGCGAGACUGCCGGUAAUAAACCGGAGGAAGGUGGGAUGACGUCAAAUCAUCAUGCCCCUUAUGACCUGGGCUACACACGUGCUACAAUGGUUGGUACAACGAGUUGCGAGUCGGUGACGGCGAGCUAAUCUCUUAAAGCCAAUCUCAGUUCGGAUUGUAGGCUGCAACUCGCCUACAUGAAGUCGGAAUCGCUAGUAAUCGCGGAUCAGCACGCCGCGGUCGAAUACGUUCCCGGGCCUU
rnacentral:rRNA from 1 species